GGGGCUGUAACUCAGUGGCAGAGUGCUUGCCUAGCAUGUGUGAGGCACUGGUUCAAUCCUCAGCACCA
rnacentral:tRNA from 1 species